GGGCCCAUAGGGUAACUUGGUAUCCUUGCGCCUUUGGGUGGCGUUGAUCCCCGUUCAAAUCGGGGUGGGCCCA
rnacentral:tRNA from 1 species